UACGUAGGGUGCAAGCGUUGUUCGGAAUUACUGGGCGUAAAGGGCGCGUAGGCGGGCCCGUAUGUCGAUUGUGAAAUCCCCGGGCUUAACCUGGGAAUUGCAGUCGAAACUGCGGGUCUUGAGUGCCUAAGAGGAUGGCGGAAUUCCCGGUGUAGAAGUGAAAUUCGUAGAUAUCGGGAAGAACACCUGAGGCGAAGGCGGCUGUCUGGUGGUGCACUGACGCUGAGGCGCGAAAGCGUGGGGAGCAAACAGG
rnacentral:rRNA from 1 species